rnacentral:rRNA from 1 species
UGCCAGCAGCCGCGGUAAUACAGAGAUGGCAAGCGUUGUUCGGAAUUACUGGGCAUAAAGGGCUCGUAGGCGGGCUGAUUAGUCAGGUGUGAAAUCCCUCGGCUUAACCGAGGAACUGCGCCUGAAACUGUCAGUCUUGAGGGCAGGAGGGGAGAGUGGAACUCUUGGUGGAGCGGUGAAAUGCGUAGAUACCAAGAGGAACGCCGGUGGCGAAAGCGACUCUCUGGCCUGUUUCUGACGCUGAGGAGCGAAAGCUAGGGGAGCAAACAGGAUUAGAUA